CCAGUACCCGCUGAAUUUAAGCAUAUCACUAAGCGGAGGAAAAGAAACUAACAAGGAUUCCCCUAGUAACGGCGAGUGAAGCGGGAAGAGCCCAGCACCGAAUCUUCUGUCUUUGAGGCAGUAAGACCUGUGGUGUUUAGGACAGCCUUUGGGGUUCCGUUGUCGCGUCCAAGUCCUCCUGAUCGGGGCCUUUCCCAUAGCGGGUGUCAGGCCUCUACUGGCGCGCGACGGAGUCUCUUUGAGCGCCCUAGGAGUCGGGUUGUUUGGGAAUGCAGCCCAAAGUGGGUGGUAAACUCCAUCUAAGGCUAAAUACUGACACGAGUCCGAUAGCGGACAGUACCGUGAGG
rnacentral:rRNA from 1 species